ACUGGAACUGAGACACGGUCCAGACUCCUACGGGAGGCAGCAGUGGGGAAUAUUGCACAAUGGGCGCAAGCCUGAUGCAGCCAUGCCGCGUGUGUGAAGAAGGCCUUCGGGUUGUAAAGCACUUUCAGUCGUGAGGAAGGUGGUGGUGUUAAUAGCUGUAUCAUUUGACGUUAGCGACAGAAGAAGCACCGGCUAACUCCGUGCCAGCAGCCGCGGUAAUACGGAGGGUGCGAGCGUUAAUCGGAAUUACUGGGCGUAAAGCGCAUGCAGGUGGUUUGUUAAGUCAGAUGUGAAAGCCCGGGGCUCAACCUCGGAAUUGCAUUUGAAACUGGCAGACUAGAGUACUGUAGAGGGGGGUAGAAUUUCAGGUGUAGCGGUGAAAUGCGUAGAGAUCUGAAGGAAUACCGGUGGCGAAGGCGGCCCCCUGGACAGAUACUGACACUCAGAUGCGAAAGCGUGGGGAGCAAACAGGAUUAGAUACCCUGGUAGUCCACGCCGUAAACGAUGUCUACUUGGAGGUUGUGGCCUUGAGCCGUGGCUUUCGGAGCUAACGCGUUAAGUAGACCGCCUGGGGAGUACGGUCGCAAGAUUAAAACUCAAAUGAAUUGACGGGGGCCCGCACAAGCGGUGGAGCAUGUGGUUUAAUUCGAUGCAACGCGAAGAACCUUACCUACUCUUGACAUCCAGAGAACUUUCCAGAGAUGGAUUGGUGCCUUCGGGAACUCUGAGACAGGUGCUGCAUGGCUGUCGUCAGCUCGUGUUGUGAAAUGUUGGGUUAAGUCCCGCAACGAGCGCAACCCUUAUCCUUGUUUGCCAGCGAGUAAUGUCGGGAACUCCAGGGAGACUGCCGGUGAUAAACCGGAGGAAGGUGGGGACGACGUCAAGUCAUCAUGGCCCUUACGAGUAGGGCUACACACGUGCUACAAUGGCGCAUACAGAGGGCAGCCAACUUGCGAAAGUGAGCGAAUCCCAAAAAGUGCGUCGUAGUCCGGAUUGGAGUCUGCAACUCGACUCCAUGAAGUCGGAAUCGCUAGUAAUCGUGGAUCAGAAUGCCACGGUGAAUACGUUCCCGGGCCUUGUACACACCGCCCGUCACACCAUGGGAGUGGGCUGCAAAAGAAGUAGGUAGUUUAACCUUCGGGGGGACGC
rnacentral:rRNA from 1 species